rnacentral:rRNA from 1 species
AAUGACGAAGGGUUUGGCCCUGACCCAGAACUAACCCUGUUGGUUUGUCUUAAACAUGCAAGUCAAUCGGGAUAUAGUAAUGCAUUUGGUGGCUAACAAGCAAUUAACGUGUGAAUGGUCUACCCAUGAGAUAGGAAUAUCCACUAGAAAUAAUUUAUAGGUUUAUGUAUAAAUGGCAUAGCUCAAUUGUAGAUCUAUGUUGUCAGCUAUAUAUCUAGGGCUUAAUAGGGGAAGUUGGAAUUUUUAAUGAAAGGGUGGUAUGGUAUUUUUUGAUGUUGGGAAGGAUGUCAGAGGCGAAGGCGAACUUUUAGGGUAAGGCUGAUACUGAGUCACGAAAGCGUAGGGAGCAAAUAGGAUUAGGUAUCCCUACAUUCUGUGCUGUAAAUGAUGAAAACUUAGUUUUAACUAAAAGUUGGCACUAAGACUAAUGUGUUAAGUAUAUCUCUUGAGGGAGAGAUUCUUUCAAUAGUGAAUCUCAAAGGAAUUGACUGGAGCCUAUAUAAGCGGUGGAGCAUGUGUUUUAAUUCGACGAUAUGCGGUGAACCUUGCCGGGGUUUGGUGUGUAUAGGAUGUGGUUAGAGAUAAUUAUUCCCAGCUUGGUAGCUAUAUAUAAUUGCUAUAUGGUUAUUGUCAGUUUUGAUUGUGAGGUGUUGAGCUAGGCUUUGCGAGGAGUUCAAUCCUCAUUCUUUAUUAUCAAUGUAUAAUGGUAGAGACCUAGAUAAGACUGCAAGCGACAAGUUAGAGGAAGAUGAGAAUGUCUCCAGAUCAUCAUGGUCCUUAUGUUCUAGGCAACACCUAUUACAAUGGUCUUUGCAAAGCGGAGCUAAACAGUGAUGCGAAACAAGGUGCUUAAAGCAGGUCUUAAUUCGAACUGAAGUCUUAAGGUCUGUUUCAUAAAGUUAGAAUCGCUAGUAAUUGCGUAUUUAAAUGAUAUGGCGAAUAUGUCUUUGGGCCUUCUAUACACUGCUCGUCACACCGUCUGAGCUGAGAAUGCCUAAAACCAUUGUUCUAAUCUAUAAGAGAGUAAGGUAUUUGAGGUAUGUUUAGUGUAGGUUGAAGGCUUAACAAGGUA